UACAGAGGUCUCAAGCGUUGUUCGGAUUCAUUGGGCGUAAAGGGUGUGUAGGUGGCGCCGUAAGUCAGGUGUGAAAUUUCGGAGCUCAACUCCGAAACUGCAUUUGAUACUGCGGUGCUUGAGGACUGGAGAGGAGACUGGAAUUUACGGUGUAGCGGUGAAAUGCGUAGAUAUCGUAAGGAAGACCAGUGGCGAAGGCGGGUCUCUGGACAGUUCCUGACACUGAGACACGAAGGCCAGGGGAGCAAACGGG
rnacentral:rRNA from 1 species